UACAGAGGUCUCAAGCGUUGCUCGGAUUCAUUGGGCGUAAAGGGUGCGUAGGCGGCGCGGUAAGUCGGGUGUGAAAUCCCUCGGCCCAACCGAGGAACUGCGCCCGAGACUGCUUCUCUUGAGUCCCGGAGAGGAAGGUGGAAUUCCCGGUGUAGCGGUGAAAUGUGUAGAGAUCGGGAGGAACACCGGUGGCGAAGGCGGCCUUCUGGACGGUGACUGACGCUGAGGCGCGAAAGCGUGGGGAGCAAACGGG
rnacentral:rRNA from 1 species